CUACGGGUGGCAGCAGUGAGGAAUAUUGGUCAAUGGGCGCAAGCCUGAACCAGCCAUCCCGCGUGAAGGACGACUGCCCUAUGGGUUGUAAACUUCUUUUAUGUACCAAGAAUUGUGUCUACGUGUAGAUAUUUGACGGUAGUACAUGAAUAAGCAUCGGCUAACUCCGUGCCAGCAGCCGCGGUAAUACGGAGGAUGCGAGCGUUAUCCGGAUUCAUUUGGUUUAAAGGGUGCGUAGGCGGAAUCUUAAGUCAGUGGUGAAAUCCUGCAGCUUAACUGUAGAACUGCCAUUGAUACUGGGAAUCUUGAAUAUAUUUGAAGUAGGCGGAAUGAGUAGUGUAGCGGUGAAAUGCAUAGAUAUUACUCAGAACACCGAUUGCGAAGGCAGCUUACUAAACUAUAAUUGACGCUGAUGCACGAAAGCGUGGGGAGCGAACAGGAUUAGAUACCCCAGUAGUC
rnacentral:rRNA from 1 species